UGUGUCCAAAAUUCAUGUAGCGGGUGU
rnacentral:sRNA from 1 species